rnacentral:lncRNA from 1 species
GCAUUUCAAAAGAUUUUUAAGGAAUCUUAAGGAGUUUUAAGAUUUUUUAAAACAUUUUUUUAAAGAUUUUUAAAGUCUUUUGAAGCAAUUUUAAGUAGUUUUCAAGGAAUUUUAAGGAUUUUGAAAGUUUUUUAGAACAUUUUUUAAAGAUUUUUGAAGUGUUUUGAAGUAUUUUUAAAACUUUUUUCAUGAAUUUUUAAGCAUUUUAAAGAUCCUUUUAAGUAUAUUUAAGCUUUUU